rnacentral:rRNA from 1 species
AACGUAGGACGCGAGCGUUAUCCGGAGUUACUGGGCGUAAAGCGUGCGCAGGCGGCUUUGCAAGACAGAUGUGAAAUCCCCGGGCUUAACCUGGGAACUGCAUUUGUGACUGCAUGGCUGGAGUGCGGCAGAGGGGGAUGGAAUUCCGCGUGUAGCAGUGAAAUGCGUAGAUAUGCGGAGGAACACCGAUGGCGAAGGCAAUCCCCUGGGCCUGCACUGACGCUCAUGCACGAAAGCGUGGGGAGCAAACAGG